rnacentral:rRNA from 1 species
GACGAACGCUGGCGGCGUGCUUAACACAUGCAAGUCGAACGGAAAGGCUCCAGCUUGCUGGAGUACUCGAGUGGCGAACGGGUGAGUAACACGUGGGUGAUCUGCCCUGCACUUCGGGAUAAGCCUUGGAAACUGGGUCUAAUACCGGAUAGGACCGCACUUUGGUGUGUGUGGUGGAAAGGUUUUUCUGGUGUGGGAUGAGCUCGCGGCCUAUCAGUUUGUUGGUGGGGUAAUGGCCUACCAAGACGGCGACGGGUAGCCGGCCUGAGAGGGUGGACGGUCACAUUGGGACUGAGAUACGGCCCAGACUCCUACGGGAGGCAGCAGUGGGGAAUAUUGCACAAUGGGGGAAACCCUGAUGCAGCGACGCCGCGUGGGGGAUGAAGGCCUUCGGGUUGUAAACUCCUUUCGCUAGGGACGAAGCUUUUUGUGACGGUACCUGGAGAAGAAGCACCGGCUAACUACGUG